UACGGGGGGAGCAAGCGUUGUUCGGAUUUACUGGGCGUAAAGGGCGCGUAGGCGGCGCGACAAGUCACUUGUGAAAUCUCUGGGCUCAACCAAGAACGGUCAAGUGAUACUGUCGUGCUAGAGUGCGGAAGGGGCAACUGGAAUUCUUGGUGUAGCGGUGAAAUGCGUAGAUAUCAAGAGGAACACCUGCGGCGAAGGCGGGUUGCUGGGCCGACACUGACGCUGAGGCGCGAAAGCUAGGGGAGCGAACGGG
rnacentral:rRNA from 1 species